CCCAGGUUGCUUUGGUAUCUAUCUGCAAGUAUGCCCUGGAUUAUCAGGUGCCUACAAAGUUAAAAUCACAAUGUGGAUGCUGUUACAAGAUUGCCUCCUAGUGGAAUGAGAAGGCAUGUUUGUGUCUGGAGUCACUUUGGUGGAUGGUGCACAUGGAAGCUGAAGGAAGGAGAAAAAUAUCAGAAGAAUGUGCUUUGCUGAGUCCUGAAAUAAUGAUACUUCUCUACCUCGCUAUGGUGAUUCAACUAAGUCACCAGGAGCUCUGAUACGAUGAAGCCACAGAAACACCUAUCCACAAGUGAAAAUGAAUAAAUAAUUUUACUAGCCGAUCCAUUCAACUUACUGGAACAGAUGAUUUUAUACUAGUUGCUUCGAUAUACAAGUUCUCUGUCACUGCAGAUAGCAGUCCUUUUCGACAGGUGUUCUUGCCGGAGAAUGUCUUUUUGCCUUCCACCAUGAAAAGGCACAGCAGAAUCAAGAAACAACCAGACCUGAAAACAGCAUAUACUCUCAUUCUCUCCCUCUGCCUUUCCUGCCUCCUUUACAGACACAGCAAGCGUAGUUAGAUGACAAAGGUUAACCUAAUUCGGUUAACCCUCAAAGCAACCUCCUAUGCUGAGAUGUUCAUGAAGAUAACUUAUUGCUGAUGUGCUGCUGGAUCACUUCUGGUGCUGUGCUUUUUUAUACACUUCUUGCUCCACUUUCAACAAAUUUGACCACAUCAUCAGUGACGUUUUGUAAAAGAUAUCUCCAUAUUUACUGGCAAUAGGAUCUGGGUUUCCAAGAAAGAAGAGCCUCACUCUCACAUUUGAAGGUUCCUUUUUUUCAACCAAAGGUCUGAUAAAGACAAUAAAUGGUUAGACUGGUUAAUUUGGUUUUGUGACAAAAUAUGCCUGCUGUAUGAAUAUUUUUUUGAAAUGCAAAGGAUUUUUGCGAAGCCUUUUUUUUUUCCAGAAUACGGGCUAUAACCCACAGAUAAAAACUUGUCUCAGUUAGCCUGAGAAGCAUUUGAAAGCAAUUUCACAAGGAAGUGGUCUUACCUGCCAUUAUGUCAAUGAGGGAAAUAUUGUGCUAAUCAUCAGAGGUGGUUAGCAGCAAGCUUGGGCUCUCUGUACUCCAGCUGCAGUAUGG